AUGGUUGGUGUUGUGGAACAGGGGGAGAUCUGGGACAAAAGGAGACCCGGGCAUGGGCUAGAAUUCAUCGCCAGCAUCUACUGCGGCAGUGGGGGUUACACCUUCUACGCGGAUUCGGUGGCCGUGACCCUGCUGGAGUUCGGGGGGGACCUCCAGCCCCCCGGAGGGUCCCUGACGUUUUUGUGCCGAGGGUGCGGGUUCCAUUUUGGCAAUUUUGGGAUGCCCUGGAUCCGCCAUAGACCCGGGCAGGGGCUGCAGUGGGUCGGAACCAUCACCAGCAGUGGUGGCGUCACCUGGUACGCGGAUUCCGUCAAGGGCCGGUUCAGGAUCUCCAGGGACAACGGGCAGAGCUCGGUGACGCUGACCAUGAACAACCUCAAGGACGAGGAUUCUGGAUCCUAUUUCUGCGCCAAGGACACCGAUUGUCACGGUGCUUAUGCUGAUGCUGUUUGGGGAGGAUGGAACAGGAAAGACUUAUCAAUGUGA